rnacentral:rRNA from 1 species
UACGUAGGGUGCAGGCGUUAAUCGGAAUUACUGGGCGUAAAGCGUGCGCAGGCGGUUUGCUAAGACAGGUGUGAAAUCCCCGGGCUUAACCUGGGAACUGCGCUUGUAACUGGCAAGCUAGAGUGUGGCAGAGGGGGGUGGAAGUUCCAGGUGUAGCAGUGAAAUGCGUAGAGAUCUGGAGGAACACCGAUGGCGAAGGCAGCCCCCUGGGCUAACACUGACGCUCAUGCACGAAAGCGUGGGGAGC